rnacentral:rRNA from 1 species
UACGUAGGGUGCGAGCGUUGUCCGGAAUUAUUGGGCGUAAAGAGCUCGUAGGCGGUGUGUUACGUCGGCCGUGAAAACCUGCAGCUUAACUGUGGGCGUGCGGUCGAUACGGGCAUCACUGGAGUUCGGUAGGGGAGUCUGGAAUUCCUGGUGUAGCGGUGAAAUGCGCAGAUAUCAGGAGGAACACCGGUGGCGAAGGCGGGACUCUGGGCCGAUAUUGACGCUGAGGAGCGAAAGCGUGGGGAGCGAACAGG